GGUUUAUAUAAUUUAUAAAGAAUAUUGCAUUGAAGCUGCAGAAGAGAUAAAUGUUAUCUGUAAAU
rnacentral:tRNA from 1 species